GUAGGGAUAGCUCAGUUGGGAGAGUGUUAGAUUGAAUAUCUGAAGGCCGCAUGUUUGAUCCAUGCUCAUUACA
rnacentral:tRNA from 1 species